rnacentral:rRNA from 1 species
CCUACGGGAGGCAGCAGUAGGGAAUCUUCCGCAAUGGACGAAAGUCUGACGGAGCAACGCCGCGUGAGUGAUGAAGGUUUUCGGAUCGUAAAGCUCUGUUGUUAGGGAAGAACAAGUGCGAGAGUAACUGCUCGCACCUUGACGGUACCUAACCAGAAAGCCACGGCUAACUACGUGCCAGCAGCCGCGGUAAU